CCAUGAGUGAAAAGUCUGAGACUUUCAUCAGGUCGCAGAACUCAUCUCUCAGACGCUUACGAUCUCUGUUGGUCAGUGUUGCCCAGUAGAACUGAGCUUCAUACUGUGUGUAUAUUUUAUAAAUGUGUUUUAAUUUAUUUUCGUUUAUAUUGUGGUUUUUAUUUUUUUAUUCAUUUAUUCUCAGACACUGUGAAGAAAAAAAAGAAACUAAUUGGUUGUUCACGAUGUCUGUGAGACUUCAUUCAUUUCAUUGGUUGCUAUGUAGAAAUACUGAAAUCCUAUUGGUUGGAGGGAAGCUAGUUCCCACCCCAUCUGGUAGCAGCGCAGUUGAUCCGGACGAGCAGAGAGGAGACACACAGGAGGAGGCGAACUGAGAAAAAUCAUUACUUUAAGGACGAAUGAAGAGCUGGAAAAGCUUUGAGCCAUCCAUGAAUGCACUUGGAAGCGAGGAAGCAUCCAGGAAGUGAUGCUAAAACUCUCCGAAAUUCUUGGCUGGGUUUUCUUUUGUUCCCUUGGUUGAUAACCACUGGUACGCUGAACCCCUGGAUUGAACAUGGAUUCCUCCUUGACCAAAGAGGUGACGAGCUGUCCCAGAACCUGAACCUGAUCCUGAUACCCCGGUGGAGGAACAACCCAUUUCCUCACCUUUAUCACUGCCGUGCCGGUAGGACCCUCGAACCGGAUUUCACAGAAAAGUUAUGCAGAUGCUUGUGGAGAUCCGAGACAUGUUGAAGGAGCUGAAGGUCAUUCAAGCAUAGCCACAGGACACAGCUCUUCCUGACAAGGCUACAACAGUUGAAGAACUUAAAAGUCUUGACGAGUCGCUGAACUCGGUGGAGGAAAGACAAAAACUGAUUCAACGCUUGGCAAUGGUAGACAGAGGAACGAGUAUGGAAACCAAUGUCAAAUAGGUCAUGGACAAGUUGAUGACGCAAGAAGUCCAGGCGGAGUUCAACUUAUGUGGAAGGGGACCUAUAAAGAAGCUAGCUUUAUAUAAUGCUGUUUUAUAUGCGCAGUUUAUAGUCAUUAUUUGCACUGUUUAAAGAAUUGUAAAGAGUAAAUUUGUG